GUGUUGGGGCUAGACCUCAGUGCUGAAGCUAACGCAUUAAGUUAUCCACCUGAGGAGUACGGUCGCAAGAUUAAAACUCAAAGGAAUAGACGGGGACCCACACAAGCAGUGGAUCACGUGGUUUAAUUCGAUAAUAAACGGGGAACCUUACCCAGACUUGGCAUCCUAAGAAUUCCACAGAGAUGAGGAAGUGCCUUUAUUGGAACUUAGUGACAGGUGCUGCAUGGUUGUCGUCAGCUCGUGCCUUGAGGUGUUCGGUUAAGUCCGUUAACGAGCGCAACCCAUGUCUCUAGUUAUUAUGUCUAGAGAGACUGCCUUGGUUAACAAGGAGGAAGGUGUGGAUGACGUCAAAUCAGCAUGGCUUUUACGUCUGGGGCUACACACAUGAUACAAUGGUAUGUACAAAGGGUAGCAAUACAGCAAUGUUGAGCUAAUCCUAAAAGCAUAUCUUAGUCCGGAUUGGAGUCUGCAACUCGACUCCAUGAAGUUGGAAUUGCUAGUAAUCGUGAAUCAGAUAUGUCACGGUGAAUAUGUUCCUGGGUCUUGUACUCACCGCCCGUCACGGCAUGGGAGGUAGUAAUAUCGGAAGCUCCCUUGGUAAUAGAGGGGUCCAUGGUAGGACUACUGACUGGGCUGAAGUCGUAACAAGGUAACC
rnacentral:rRNA from 1 species